GAUGAACGCUGGCGGCGUGCCUAAUACAUGCAAGUCGAGCGAACGGACGAGAAGCUUGCUUCUCUGAUGUUAGCGGCGGACGGGUGAGUAACACGUGGAUAACCUACCUAUAAGACUGGGAUAACUUCGGGAAACCGGAGCUAAUACCGGAUGAUAUUUUGAACCGCAUGGUUCAAAAGUGAAAGACGGUCUUGCUGUCACUUAUAGAUGGAUCCGCGCUGCAUUAGCUAGUUGGUAAGGUAACGGCUUACCAAGGCAACGAUGCAUAGCCGACCUGGGAGGGUGGUCCGCCCCACUGGGACCGGGGCACCGUCCCGAACCCCUCCGGGGGGAGCCGGAGGGGAUCUUCCGCCAUGGGCCAAAGCCUUAAGGAGGCAAGCCCGGUGGGGGAUGGAGGGUCUCCGCUCCUUAAACUCUUUUAUUAGGGAAGAACCUAUGUGUAAGUAAACUUGCCCCUCUUGAACGUUACUAAUCCGAAAGCCCCGGCUAACCUCCUGC
rnacentral:rRNA from 1 species